rnacentral:rRNA from 1 species
CCUACGGGAGGCUGCAGUGAGGAAUAUUGGUCAAUGGACGAGAGUCUGAACCAGCCAAGUAGCGUGAAGGAUGAAUGCCCUAUGGGUUGUAAACUUCUUUUAUAUGGGAAUAAAACGUUCCACGUGUGGGAUUUUGUAUGUACCAUAUGAAUAAGGAUCGGCUAACUCCGUGCCAGCAGCCGCGGUAAUACGGAGGAUCCGAGCGUUAUCCGGAUUUAUUGGGUUUAAAGGGAGCGUAGGUGGAUUGUUAAGUCAGUUGUGAAAGUUUGCGGCUCAACCGUAAAAUUGCAGUUGAAACUGGCAGUCUUGAGUACAGUAGAGGUGGGCGGAAUUCGUGGUGUAGCGGUGAAAUGCUUAGAUAUCACGAAGAACUCCGAUUGCGAAGGCAGUUCACUGGACUGCAACUGACACUGAGGCUCGAAAGUGUGGGUAUCAAACAGGAUUAGAUACCCUGGUAGUC